ensembl:lncRNA
UUCAUGUGAGCAGGAGCCAGUCCAUGAGCAGGGACACAGGUUUGGGAAGUACCAUUCCCACUAAUGACUCCCCCAUAUCUUGCCUUGACUUGGUAUGCUCAGAGAAAAAGGACCUUUCUUCAGAGAAGAGCUCAAGAGGCAGGGUGGAUGCUUCUGAUCAGGAGCAGAGGGCAGCGUACGAGAAAGAAGUCGUUCUAGAGUCCUGGACAGAGGAGUGUCGUUGGCGGCUCGAGAGGCUGUUGGGGGAUGAUGCCUGUGGGGGGGUAUUGAUGGAAGAGCUGCGCCCCCCUGCAGAAAGCGUGUGCACCGAGGACUUUGCCGUGCGCUUCAGAGACGAGAUGGUGGCGGGGCUACCAGACGGGACCACACCGAGACUGGCUAGAGACCGGAGUAACAACAUGGGACAGCCCUCUACACAGGAAGGGUCUGAUAGCAGAGCAGCCCUCUCAGGCACCUGUCCGAAAGAGGGCUGCUCCUGUCCAUUUCUGUUACCCCAGCCAGCCACGGUGUCAGUGCCUGGUACUAUCAGCAGCAGCAGCAGUGGUGGUACGGGAGUUGUCACUGAGGACCGUUCCAGUUUAGAGCAUGAGGGAACCAAGGAGAACAGGAGCCAUUCUUCUAGAGCCACCACCAGACGCUUGGCAGGUUCUCUGCCACAUAGAACAUCUAGUCCUUAAUGUCAAUUACUAUACCCUUUCAACGCACAGCUAUAAUUAUUCAUUUACCACCCAGGAUAUUAUUUCUGUAAUAAAUGAUUAAUGGUAACUCCAGCCUCUUCCUUGUCUUCCCCAGGAGUGCCAGUAUGGAAUUUUGACACAGUGACCAUGGACAGUGACCUGGAGUCUGUCCGCACAGAGACGAUCAGACAGCACAUCAACAGCAGGCCAGGAUGCCUUUCUGCCAUUCAGUCUGUCGAGCACAUGGAUGGUCUCUACACUGACCACACUGACUGUGACACAUCAUCUCAGGAGCUGAGUGAUCUCCAGGUUAUCCCUGUGCUGAGCGCUAGCAAUGGACCUGUGACCAGCGAAGGGGUCCCCCUCCGUAAAGCACACAAAAGCAGAAGAAAUACUCCCAGAUCUAUGCUCUCUGUAGAUGACGAUGAGGAAACAGAUCAGCGAUGUGUCUGCCGAAGGAGAGAAAGGCCUAACCAGUCUGCAGGAUACCAUGAUUGUGAGGAAGAAGAGAGGAGGGAGCUGAGGAGAGCUGAGCUUUGUGAGACGGAGCUGUUCUUCACUGACCUCCGUCCGAAAAGAAAGGAUGCUGUUCAGGAAUUGGACCAGCUGUCCGUGGGGGUGGAGCAGAUGGAGCUGGAAGGGCGGAGUCAGGAGGCCGGCCUAGGUGACAGCAAGGCAGAGGCAGACAGUACCAGUUGUCAGCUUCGACGGUUGCAGAGGCAGAGGGACUGUUGCGAGCAGGAGGUCAGGAAUAGGGAGGAGGAGAUGGCUGCUCUGUGUAAACACAAACGUGUCCACACAGACAAUUCGUUGUCCUUCAGGAGAAGUGUCAGAAUGUCUGUCCUUGAGAGAGAAGAGUUGGACAGACAGCUGGAGAGUGCCAAAACAGAGCUGUUUGCUGAGCAACGGCGUUCUAGACUCAAGCUGGAGACCGUGCAAGAGAGAUUGGAUGAGGCUCGUGAGCAACUCCAGCAUGUGACAGAUGAGGAGAGGUCACUAAGGGACAGGUGUGCAUGUCUGGAGGAGAAACACAGGCAGAAACAGGAGCAGGAGGAGGCAGUGUGGUUGAUGGUUUGUAAACUGCAGACUGAGCUGGGGGAGAGUGAGAGCAGUGUGGGAGCCCUGGAGAGGAUAGUUGCCCAGAAGGAGCUGCAGCUGCUGGGACUCCAGGAGGAAAUGGGUGCCCUGCAGGCACAGAGAGAUGGCCUGCAGGAGGAGCUCCAGAGCAUGAGGGAGCAGCACAGCAUUACCCUAAGAGAGAUCCAAGAGCAGGCUCAUAUUCAAGCUGAAGAAGAGAAAGCAAUGGCUCUCAGAGCACAGGCCCUGUCUCACACCAAGCACACCGAGUCCGUACAGAAACACCUCCAGAUGAAGGAGGAGGAAGGCAGGAAGCUGAAGGAGGCCCUUCAGAAGCAGAAAGAGGUGAUGAGGAGGCGAGAGGAGGAGCUGCGUGCUGAAGCUCAGAAGAUGAUUAACACCUUAGAGCAGGAGAGGAAGACAUGGGAAAGAGUAAAGAAAGAAGCUCUACAGGUGCAGUCUGGGAUACUGGAGGAGCAAGGCCGGAAGGCUCUGGAGACCAUCCGUGGGGAAUUUGAGACGGAGAAGAGGAAUGCCUUGGUUCUUCAGAACAAAGUGGUGGAAUUACAGACAAGAGUGCAGGAGCUGGAGAGUGAGAGCCGCACGCAGCGGAGGAAGUGGUCUGAGAUGAGCGAGUCCCUGAAAGAGGAGCACCAAGCUGAGCUACAAAGAGUACACAGGCUCAUGGAGCAGGAGGGCCAGAGGGAGACGUUGAGGCUGGAGCAGGUUGUCCGGCGGGCGGAGGAGGAGGCGGGCAGGCUGCAGGCAUUGCUGGCGGAGAGGGAGCACAGAUACAAGCAAGCCACGGCCAGGCUGGAGCAGCAGCUCAGACACUGGGCCCAGGAGCUGGGAGACGAGUGUCAGCAUCUACAGCACCUGCUGGAACACACCGGGUCCAUACACAGCUCCCUUCAGCUCCCACACAGUCCUACAGUGGCCCAAGCUGUUCCCAUCCUGCAGGCUCUCAGAGAGCAGUUGCAACAAUCAGUCAACCAACUACAGCAGGAGCUGGAGUCACAGAGACGCAGCACUCAGCAGCUGAGCCUGGACAAGGCGCAGAGUUUACGUGCUCAGAGGGAGCAGAUGUUGAUGGAGAGAGACCAGGCUCUGGGCUCACUGAAGGAGAGACUCAUUAAGGAUCACAUUGAGGAGCUGAGCGUUCUCCAGCGGGCCCAGGUGUGGGAGGGAGGAGAGGAGACAGGAGGUGUUGUUGCUUCCUUGCGCAGGCAGCUGCAGGCUAAAGACCAGGAACUGCACCAGGUACAGAGGAGCAUGGGUCAGUGGAAGGAGCAGAUGACAGCUCGUCUGGCGGGCAAGUUUGAGGCGGAGCUGACGAGCGAACUUGUGAGAAAGGCACCUAAGGCACAAGAGGAGAAGCAGAGGAAGCUGGAGAAACUGGAGGAGGAAAUGAGACAUAUUACUGAGACAUGCAGUGUGUCUGGAGCCCAGCAGUCAGCCUCUUCUCCCUCCCUCCACAUGAGGCGUCCCCAUGCCCCUCCUGGGCCUUCAGACCUGGCUUCCUUCAAGCUACUACAUCAUCUCCAGAGCCGGGUCAAACAGCUCCGUGCUGAGAACCAGGCCCAUUCCUUUAGCGCCACUCUCCUGGGAAAUGCCCUUCCAGGCAGGUCUCCAAUGGAGCUGGCUGGGUCCUACCUGGAGACGAUACCACUGUCCCAGGACUGCUCUCGGUUUUGGAAUCUUUCGUGUUCCAGGACAGUCCAGAGUUAA